rnacentral:ncRNA from 1 species
CUUCAGGGCGGGGUGAGAUUCCCCACCGGUGGUAACAGCCCACGAGCGCAUAUGCUGCAUGAUUCGGUGAAAUUCCGAAGCCGACGGUACAGUCCGGACGAAAGAAGACG